CGCUAGCGGCAGGCUUAACACAUGCAAGUCGAGGGGUAACAUUGGUGCUUGCAUCAGAUGACGACCGGCGCACGGGUGAGUAACGCGUAUGUAACCUACCUAUCACAGGGGGAUAGCCCGGAGAAAUUCGGAUUAAUACCGCAUAGUUUUGAGAUAUUGCAUGAUAUUUCAAAUAAAAUUUCGGUGGUGAUAGAUGGACAUGCGUAUGAUUAGUUAGUUGGUGAGGUAACGGCUCACCAAGGCGACGAUCAUUAGGGGUUCUGAGAGGAAGGUCCCCCACACUGGUACUGAGACACGGACCAGACUCCUACGGGAGGCAGCAGUGAGGAAUAUUGGUCAAUGGACGGAAGUCUGAACCAGCCAUGCCGCGUGCAGGAUGACUGCCCUAAUGGGUUGUAAACUGCUUUUCUGAAGGAAGAAAUGUACCCUACGUGUAGGUAUUUGCCGGUACUUCAGGAAUAAGGAUCGGCUAACUCCGUGCCAGCAGCCCCGGUAAUACGGAGGAUCCGAGCGUUAUCCGGAUU
rnacentral:rRNA from 1 species